AUUGAACGCUGGCGGCAGGCCUAACACAUGCAAGUCGAGCGAGCGGCGGACGGGUGAGUAAUGUCUGGGAAACUGCCUGAUGGAGGGGGAUAACUACUGGAAACGGUAGCUAAUACCGCAUACCAUCAGAAGUGCCCAGAUGGGAGUAGCUAGUAGGUGGGGUAACGGCUCACCUAGGCGACGAGCCCUAGCUGGUCUGAGAGGAUGACCAGACACACUGGAACGUAGAUACGGGCCAGACUCCUACGUGAGGCAGCAGUGGGGAAUAUUGAACAAGGGGCGCAAGCCUGAUGCAGCCAUGACGCGUGGGUGAAGAAGGCCUUCGGGUUGUAAAGCACUUUCAGCGGUGAGGCGUUACCCGCAGAAGAAGCACCGGCUAACUCCGGGCCAGCAGCCGCGGUAGUAC
rnacentral:rRNA from 1 species